rnacentral:rRNA from 1 species
AUCGCGAUAGCUUGCUAUUGCGGAUGGCGACCGGCGCACGGGUGAGUAACGCGUAUCCAACCUUCCCGCAACUGGGGAAUAACCUUGCGAAAGUAAGACUAAUACCCAAUGAUAUCUCUAGAAGACAUCUGAAGGAGAUUAAAGAUUUAUCGGUGAUGGAUGGGGAUGCGUCUGAUUAGCUUGUUGGCGGGGUAACGGCCCACCAAGGCAUCGAUGGGUAGGGGUUCUGAGAGGAAGGUCCCCACAUUGGAACUGAGACACGGUCCAAACUCC